GGGGGGAGCGGCGAGGGGCACGGCUGCGGGUUUGAAGUGCCGGCAGCACUGCCGUGGCUCACGGUGUCUGGACGUAUCCCACGAGGCUCCGGAGGGCAGGGCGGGGAGCAGGGUCGGAACCUACAGGCGAAAAACGAUCCGACAGCCUCCCUCACCCAGAGACCCGGGGCUCACCAACGCGGCAGCUGCCACUAGAAGUCUGGGACCAGACCCCACGGCCGCCUGCCGGGAGCCUCUGCUUUGGCGCAGGGGGCUGUCCCACGAGCCCCUGGGGUCCCAGCCACUCCACAGCAAGUCCCGGAAGCGGCGUCCCCCUUCCAGGGGGCACUCGAGCCUGGGCCGAGUGGCUGCCCAGUCCCCAGCCAGCUAGGGCUGACAGUCAAAGUGGGAGGCCCCAGGCAGCCCAGGCUAGGAGGGCUGGGAACCCCCUAUCCUGUGUCCUUCUAUUCCUUUAAACUCAAGGCGCCCUUGGCAACAAAAGUCUCUCCUCCCACCUACACACCUGGAAACGCAUCAAAGUGCUCUCCAAUGACCACAUACAAAUUUUAUCAUCAGAAAUAAACUUUUGUU